AUUGAACGCUGGCGGCAUGCCUUACACAUGCAAGUCGAACGGCAGCACGGGAGCAAUCCUGGUGGCGAGUGGCGAACGGGUGAGUAAUAUAUCGGAACGUGCCCGGUCGUGGGGGAUAACGUAGCGAAAGCUACGCUAAUACCGCAUACGAUCUACGGAUGAAAGCGGGGGAUCGCAAGACCUCGCGCGAUUGGAGCGGCCGAUAUCAGAUUAGGUAGUUGGUGAGGUAAAGGCUCACCAAGCCGACGAUCUGUAGCUGGUCUGAGAGGACGACCAGCCACACUGGGACUGAGACACGGCCCAGACUCCUACGGGAGGCAGCAGUGGGGGAAUUUUGGACAAUGGGCGCAAGCCUGAUCCAGCAAUGCCGCGUGCAGGAUGAAGGCCUUCGGGUUGU
rnacentral:rRNA from 1 species